rnacentral:tRNA from 1 species
GCCGCAUUAGCUCAGUCGGUAGAGCAUCGCAUUCGUAAUGCGAGGGUCGCUGGUUCGAGUCCGGCAUGCGGCACCA